UUUGGCGGCCGAAAAUUGCUCCGGUGCGGUGGCGGGUGGCGGCGGCUGGGCUGUCUUCUCCGGCAAGGGGCUCUGGCAGUUAGGGUUAGGGUUUGGGAGCGGAUGAGAUUAUUUAUAACCAUCUGCUUUUAAUAUGAGCCGUCCAUUGCGAUUUAAUUUAGGCCGUCCAAUCGUGAUUAAAUAGAAAAUGAAUCUGGACCGUUCAUCGCGAUGCAAUCUUGGCCGUCCGUGUGCGAUUCAAUUUGGACCGUCUGUGCGCAUGCAAUCUGGGCCGUCCGUGCGUGUUUUUGAUCUGGGCUGUCCGUGCGCGCAGGAACGGAUCUCAGCCGUUCGAUCGUGCGCACGCGGAUCGCCCACGUGGCUCCCUUCCGCGUGGCUUCCUGCGUCAGCAUCUCUGCCACGCGGCGUGUUCUUGUAGGCCAGGGCUGCUGACCGGGCUGCUGACGUGGCACAAUUUUUUUAAAU
rnacentral:lncRNA from 1 species